rfam:Triticum aestivum genome assembly, contig: Triticum_aestivum_CS42_TGACv1_scaffold_130756_2BL
UUAAUGCUCCCUCCGUCCGAAAAUACUUGUCCUAAAAAUGGUUGUAUCUAGACUUAUUUUAGUUAUAGAUACAUCCAUUUAAUUUAUUUCUAGGACAAGUAUUUCUGGAUGGAGGGAGAUACC